AAUGGUGCCUCUAUAACAGGAUCCAGGUUUGACAUCAUCAAAUUCAAUUCUGUGGGUUCACUAAACUAUGUCGGUUCUACCUAUUGAACUUCCUCAAGUUUAACCUUAGAGGCAUUAAUCCCUUCCUCAAAGAAUUUUUUUCUAAAAAGAUUGCCCUAAGUCUGACAAACACCUUUUGUUCAUCAGUAAGGUAGAAGUAAUACCCUUUAGUUUCUUUAGGAUACGCAAUAAAAUUACAUUAAUCAGACUCGACUCCAAGUUUAUCUAUUUUCAAAUAUUUGACAUAAAUCGAACAUCUCCAAACCUUA
rnacentral:lncRNA from 1 species